CCUACGGGGGGCAGCAGUGAGGAAUAUUGGUCAAUGGACGAGAGUCUGAACCAGCCAAGUAGCGUGAAAGAUGACUGCCCUAUGGGUUGUAAACUUCUUUUAUAUGGGAAUAAAAUGUUCCACGUGUGGGAUUUUGUAUGUACCAUAUGAAUAAGGAUCGGCUAACUCCGUGCCAGCAGCCGCGGUAAUACGGAGGAUCCGAGCGUUAUCCGGAUUUAUUGGGUUUAAAGGGAGCGUAGGUGGAUUGUUAAGUCAGUUGUGAAAGUUUGCGGCUCAACCGUAAAAUUGCAGUUGAAACUGGCAGUCUUGAGUACAGUAGAGGUGGGCGGAAUUCGUGGUGUAGCGGUGAAAUGCUUAGAUAUCACGAAGAACUCCGAUUGCGAAGGCAGUUCACUGGACUGCAACUGACACUGAGGCUCGAAAGUGUGGGUAUCAAACAGGAUUAGAUACCCCUGUAGUC
rnacentral:rRNA from 1 species